UACGAAGGGGGCUAGCGUUGCUCGGAAUUACUGGGCGUAAAGGGCGCGUAGGCGGCACUGUUAGUCAGGCGUGAAAGUCCUGGGCUCGACCUGGGAACUGCGCUUGAUACGGCAGAGCUAGAGGAUGGAAGAGGCUCGCGGAAUUCCCAGUGUAGAGGUGAAAUUCGUAGAUAUUGGGAAGAACACCGGUGGCGAAGGCGGCGAGCUGGUCCAUUACUGACGCUGAGGCGCGACAGCGUGGGGAGCAAACAGG
rnacentral:rRNA from 1 species